rnacentral:rRNA from 1 species
AACGAACGCUGGCGGCAGGCCUAAUACAUGCAAGUCGAACGCACCGCAAGGUGAGUGGCAGACGGGUGAGUAACGCGUGGGAAUCUUCCUUGCAGUACGGAAUAACUCCGGGAAACCGGUGCUAAUACCGUAUACGCCCUUUGGGGGAAAGAUUUAUCGCUGCAAGAUGAGCCCGCGUCGGAUUAGCUAGUUGGUGGGGUAAUGGCCUACCAAGGCGACGAUCCGUAGCUGGUCUGAGAGGAUGAUCAGCCACACUGGGACUGAGACACGGCCCAGACUCCUACGGGAGGCAGCAGUAGGGAAUAUUGGGCAAUGGGCGAAAGCCUGAUCCAGCCAUGCCGCGUGAGUGAAGAAGGCCUUAGGGUUGUAAAGCUCUUUUGGCGGGGACGAUAAUGACGGUACCCGCAGAAUAAGCUCCGGCUAACUUCGUGCCAGCAGCCGCGGUAA